rnacentral:rRNA from 1 species
AGAGUUUGAUCAUGGCUCAGAUUGAACGCUGGCGGCAUGCCUUACACAUGCAAGUCGAACGGCAGCGCGGGGGAAACCCUGGCGGCGAGUGGCGAACGGGUGAGUAAUACAUCGGAACGUGUCCUGGAGUGGGGGAUAGCUCGGCGAAAGCCGGAUUAAUACCGCAUACGCUCUAAGGAGGAAAGCGGGGGAUCUUCGGACCUCGCGCUCAAGGGGCGGCCGAUGGCGGAUUAGCUAGUUGGUGGGGUAAAGGCCUACCAAGGCGACGAUCCGUAGCUGGUCUGAGAGGACGACCAGCCACACUGGGACUGAGACACGGCCCAGACUCCUACGGGAGGCAGCAGUGGGGAAUUUUGGACAAUGGGGGAAACCCUGAUCCAGCAAUGCCGCGUGUGUGAAGAAGGCCUUCGGGUUGUAAAGCACUUUUGUUCGGGAAGAAAUCCUUCGGGCUAAUACCUUGAGGGGAUGACGGUACCGGAAGAAUAAGCACCGGCUAACUACGUGCCAGCAGCCGCGGUAAUACGUAGGGUGCGAGCGUUAAUCGGAAUUACUGGGCGUAAAGCGUGCGCAGGCGGUCCGCUAAGACCGAUGUGAAAUCCCCGGGCUUAACCUGGGAACUGCAUUGGUGACUGGCGGGCUAGAGUAUGGCAGAGGGGGGUAGAAUUCCACGUAGCAGUGAAAUGCGUAGAGAUGUGGAGGAAUACCGAUGGCGAAGGCAGCCCCCUGGGCCAAUACUGACGCUCAUGCACGAAAGCGUGGGGAGCAAACAGGAUUAGAUACCCUAGUAGUCC